rnacentral:rRNA from 1 species
UACGAAGGGUGCUAGCGUUGUUCGGAAUUACUGGGCGUAAAGCGUACGUAGGCGGCUUGGUAAGUCGAUUGUGAAAGCCCCAAGCUCAACUUGGGAACUGCAAUCGAAACUGCCUCGCUUGAGUUUGGUCGGGGAUGGUGGAAUUUCUAGUGUAGGGGUGAAAUCCGUAGAUAUUAGAAGGAAUAUCGGUGGCGAAGGCGACCAUCUAGGCCAAUACUGACGCUAAGGUACGAAAGCGUGGGGAGCAAACAGG